rnacentral:rRNA from 1 species
AUUGAACGCUGGCGGCAUGCUUUACACAUGCAAGUCGAACGGUAACAGGUUAAGCUGACGAGUGGCGAACGGGUGAGUAAUGCAUCGGAACGUGCCCGAUCGUGGGGGAUAACGCAGCGAAAGCUGCGCUAAUACCGCAUACGAUCUGAGGAUGAAAGCGGGGGACCGUAAGGCCUCGCGCGAUCGGAGCGGCCGAUGUCAGAUUAGGUAGUUGGUGGGGUAAAGGCCCACCAAGCCGACGAUCUGUAGCUGGUCUGAGAGGACGACCAGCCACACUGGGACUGAGACACGGCCCAGACUCCUACGGGAGGCAGCAGUGGGGAAUUUUGGACAAUGGGCGAAAGCCUGAUCCAGCAAUGCCGCGUGCAGGAAGAAGGCCUUCGGGUUGUAAACUGCUUUUGUACGGAGCGAAAAGGUCCUUUCUAAUACAAGGGGCUCAUGACGGUACCGUAAGAAUAAGCAACGGCUAACUACGUGCCAGCCGCCGCAGUAAGAC